CAGCAGCCGCGGGAAUACAGAGGGUGCGAGCGUUAAUCGGAUUUACUGGGCUUAAAGCGUGCGUAGGCGGCUUCUUAAGUCGGAUGUGAAAUCCCUGAGCUUAACUUAGGAAUUGCAUUCGAUACUGGGAAGCUAGAGUAUGGGAGAGGAUGGUAGAAUUCCAGGUGUAGCGGUGAAAUGCGUAGAGAUCUGGAGGAAUACCGAUGGCGAAGGCAGCCAUCUGGCCUAAUACUGACGCUGAGGUACGAAAGCAUGGGGAGCAAACAGGAUUAGAUACCCCCGUAGUCCCUGUCUCUUAUAA
rnacentral:rRNA from 1 species